rnacentral:rRNA from 1 species
UUCGAAGGGGACUAGCGUUGUUCGGAAUCACUGGGCGUAAAGCGCACGUAGGCGGAUGUGUCAGUCAGGGGUGAAAUCCCGGGGCUCAACCUCGGAACUGCCUUUGAUACAGCACGUCUCGAGUCCGGAAGAGGUGGGUGGAAUUCCUAGUGUAGAGGUGAAAUUCGUAGAUAUUAGGAAGAACACCGGUGGCGAAGGCGGCCCACUGGUCCGGUACUGACGCUGAGGUGCGAAAGCGUGGGGAGCAAACAGG